GUGUAGACAGCUGGCAACUUUUUGCACAAAAGUGGCUGCUUUUGCGCAAAAGCAGCCACUUUUGUGCAAAAAGUUGCCAGCUGUCUACACU
rnacentral:pre_miRNA from 11 species